rnacentral:rRNA from 1 species
UUUGUUGUAGGAGAGCUCGAGUGACGUACCUGCCGAAAAGCACGGCUACUACGUGCCAGCAGCGGUAUACGUAGGUGCAGCGUGUCCGAUAUUGGCGUAAGAGCUCGUAGCGUUGUCGCGUCUGCUGUGAAUCCGAGCUCACCUCGACGUGCAGUGGUACGGCAGGCUGAGUGCGGUAGGGAGAUGGAAUUCUGGUGUAGCGGUGGAAUGCGCAGAUAUCAGGAGGAACACCGAUGGCGAAGGCAGAUCUCUGGGCCGCUACUGACGCUGAGGAGCGAAAGCAUGGGGAGCGAACAGGAUUAGAUACCCUGGUAGUCCAUGCCGUAAACGUUGGGAACUAGAUGUAGGAGCCUUUCCACGGCUUCUGUGUCGACGCUAACGCAUUAAGUUCCCCGCCUGGGGAGUACGGCCGCAAGGCUAAAACUCAAAGGAAUUGACGGGGGCCCGCACAAGCGGCGGAGCAUGCGGAUUAAUUCGAUGCAACGCGAAGAACCUUACCAAGGCUUGACAUAUACGAGAACACUGUAGAGAUACAGGACUCUUUGGACACUCGUAUACAGGUGGUGCAUGGUUGUCGUCAGCUCGUGUCGUGAGAUGUUCGGUUAAGUCCGGCAACGAGCGCAACCCUCGUCCUAUGUUGCCAGCACGUUAUGGUGGGAACUCAUGGGAUACUGCCGUGGUCAACACGGAGGAAGGUGGGGAUGACGUCAAAUCAUCAUGCCCCUUAUGUCUUGGGCUUCACGCAUGCUACAAUGGCCGGCACAAUGGGCAGCGAUACCGUGAGGUGGAGCGAAUCCAAAAAACCGGUCUCAGUUCGGAUUGGGGUCUGCAACUCGACCCCAUGAAGUCGGAGUCGCUAGAAUCGCAGUCGCACGUGCGUG